AGAAAAGUAAGCUAAUUUAAGCUAUUGGGCUCAUAACCCACUGAUAGAAGUUAUAAUCUUCUCUAUUCUA